GUAGUCCACGCCGUAAACGAUGUCUACUAGCCGUUGGGGGACUUGAUCCUUUAGUGGCGCAGCUAACGCACUAAGUAGACCGCCUGGGGAGUACGGCCGCAAGGUUAAAACUCAAAUGAAUUGACGGGGGCCCGCACAAGCGGUGGAGCAUGUGGUUUAAUUCGACGCAACGCGAAGAACCUUACCAGGUCUUGACAUCCUCGGAAUCCUGCAGAGAUGCGGGAGUGCCUUCGGGAACCGAGUGACAGGUGCUGCAUGGCUGUCGUCAGCUCGUGUCGUGAGAUGUUGGGUUAAGUCCCGUAACGAGCGCAACCCUUGUCCUUAGUUGCCAGCAUUCAGUUGGGCACUUU
rnacentral:rRNA from 1 species